GCCCUUGUGGCACAGUGGUUAAGAGCUUGACUGAUAACCAAGAGAUUGGUAGUUCAAAUCUACCAAUAGCU
rnacentral:tRNA from 1 species